rnacentral:lncRNA from 1 species
UAACAUUCAGCUAGAAUAAAAUGAGUAGAAUCAUUACAGGUGAGAUACAUAAAUUGCAAACCACAUAUCUGUCCUCAAUUGUCAUCAUACAAGGCCCUUCGUCCGAACCAGAACCAAACAAAUCAAACAAAUAAUAUAAAAAUCAUUUAAUCAAUCGGCAUUUCAAAAAAAAAAUAGAAACUUAAGAACAUUGAUCAUAAUUAUAAAUGGCUGGUAAUCACGAGGAACACGUUCCAGAAAUAUGUUUAACCAUAGUACUAAAACGGAAUAUAAAGUAUCAGUUUACGAAACAAACCACCAAAAUCAUAUCAUAAAAAAAACAUACAUGAAAGUGACGAGAAUAAGACAAUAGAGAAAUAAUUGGACCUCAAGAACAAUCUUCCUUUAAUACUCACGAAUUGGAAAAAUAAUCUCCAAGUUUUGAGUUACACCACAAAAUCAUACAAAAAUUGGCUCCGAGAUCGUCAGCCGCAACUGGAACUACAGACUAAAACCUUAAUCGGUGGCGUACUCGAACUCGAACACGACCACAAGACCUCAAUGGGAACCGACAAAGGUGAAACCAGUCAGAUUUAGAGAUUGAUGAGGUGAGGCAAUAGUGGAAAGUUUCUGUCCAUAUCUGGAGCGGAUCUGGUGAUCUCUCUAUGAUAUGUGAGUGAUAGUAGAUGAAUAAGGGAAGGAGAGAGAGCAGGGGAACUCGAUGGCUCGCUAGCCAGCUUGUCGGAGGUGGCAGUGGCGGCAGAUGUUUACUUUCUAAGUUGAGAGAGAUGAUGGGUUAGGUGUAUUUGCUUUUUUCUUCAAUUGAGAGCAUGAAGAAGAUGAAUAAAAAAAGAGAGCCGGAGGGGUCUGCCCAUUGGUGCUGAAGAAUAAAGGCGUUCCAAGGUAUUGUUUUUGCUGAAGUAGAUGAACGGUGGGGGGUGUCUUUUGGUCAGGUCCUGAUCUGGUUCCUUUUUUGAUUUUUGAAGAUGAAUCCCAUUAAAAUCGGAUGGGGUCUUGUGACGACCCGACCAGUCGUCUCAUGUGUUACCGCUCCGUUUCCCCCAUUUCUGCUUCUUUAUGCUUUGUUAUCCGUGUUUUGUGGUAUCGGGUUGGUCGGAUCAAAUCCGGAAGGAUUUUGGUAAGGUUUGAGACACUUAGUCUCUUUUUUUUAGGAAGCUUACAUGGGAAAAGUCAACCGGGUGUUGACUUAUGUGUUAGAGGGCUCGGAUGUGAGUUCUGAUGGUUCGGUUAGCUUCAGGAGGUGAUUUAUGACUUAGGAGCAUGAUCGGAAUGAGUUUUGGAAGUUCGUAGCAGAUUUAGGCGUGAAUUGGCGAAGUUGAUAUUUUUGUGAUUUCCGGUUGGUAGGCAAGUUUUUGAUAUAGGGGUCGGAAUGGAAUUAUGAGAGUUGUAGUAGUUCCGUUGUGUCAUUUGGGAUGUGUAGUGNNNNNNNNNNNNNNNAAACUUAGGCUUGAAUCUGAUGUGUUUUGGUUGAUUUGAUGUUGUUUGAAGUGUUAAGAAGAUUGGAACAAGUAUGAAUAAGCUAUUAGGAUAUGUUUGUACUUUUGGUUGAGGUCCCGGGGGCCUCGGGGUGAUUACGGAUGGUUGACGGAGAGUUUGAGGAAUGUUUGUAGCUCCAGAACUUUUGCUGCUUCUGGUAUUUUCACACCUGUGGAUUGGGGACCGCAGGUGCGACGACGCAUAAGCGGAGGAAUUGAUCGCAGAAGCAAAAAUGUCUUGAGGAGCAGAAAUUGCAGAAUUAGCUAAGAGGACCGCAUCUGCGAUGUCGUAGAUCCGGGUAGGGGACCGCAGAUGCAGACUAAGGGGAAUAAGUGAUUUCCGCAGAAGCGGAUGAAUGACCGCAUAUGCGGUACCGCAGAAGCGGUUAAAGGGGCCUCAGAUUCGAAAAAUGUUGGGAAGAAAGUAUAAAUUGUGGUGUUCGCGAAUUUUGAGCUAUUUCACCAUUUUUAUCUCGGCUUUGGAGCUUUUUGGGCGAUUUGAGAGAGGGAUUUCAAGGGAACUUCAUUGAGGUAAGGAAUUUGGACCUAAAACCCGUUCUUAUGCUAUUAUUUCAUGGAUUAGAGCUAGAAAUUAUGGAAAUUAAAGGUUAAAAUUGGGGAAACUAGGGCUUGGGAACUUAGGCCGUUAAUUGAGGAUUUGAAGGACCAUUUGGGGUUGGAUUUGAGAACAUUUGAUGUGUAUGAACUCGUGGGGAGAUAAGGAACCUAUUGAUGUAAAAAUUUCUGAAUUUCGAGACGUGGGCCCGGGGGUCGGGUUUUGGUAAUUUCGGGAUUUGUGCCCUUUAUUGAUUGUUUUUGUUUUGGCUUCAUUCCCUUAGCAUAUUUUGACGUCCUCGUUCUGAUUUUGGUAGAUUCGAUGUGAGUGGAGGUCGAUUCGAGGGGCAAAGGCGUUGCGAGCUAGAGAUUUAACCGGUUUGAGGUGAGUAAUGAUUGUAAAUGAUGUUCUGAGGGUUUGAAACCCUGGAUUGCACAUCGUAGUGCUAUAUUAAGGUGAGACACAUGCUUGAUGACAUGCGUGGGGUCGCGCACUAUUGGGGAUUGUGACUUGGUCCGUCCCAAUUGAUGAUUUUACCACGUAUUUGACUGAAAUCUAUUUGCUAUCAUCAUUAUUUUGGCGGGAUGCUAUAUUUGGGCUUCGUGCCAACUAUUUGAACCCUUCGGGGAUUUUAUUGAUAUUUCCUCACUGUUUUGGCUUUAUACUUGAACUUAGUCAGGUUACUUUCCACUGUUUUCAUACUCAACCACAUUUACUCAGUUUUAAUACUUGAAUGAUAUUUUAAAUGAUGUUUGGGUUGAGAAACACUAUUUUACUAUUGCCCAAGUGGCUUGUGAGGAUUUUUGACUGAGUAAGGCCGAGGGCCUAUGUUGUGAGGAAACACUGAUACUGAUUUAAGGCCGAGGGACUGAGAUAUGUACGCCACGGGGUGGCUUGAUUGAUAUGAGACUGAGAGCCUAAUGAUGACGCCACGAGAUGUCUUGAUGUUGCGCUUGGGCUGUAAGGGCCCCCUCCAGGAGUCUGCACACUCCUAGUGAGCGCGGGUACUCAUUAUGAUGUGAAAUAUAGCCCUAGGGGCUGACUGAGACAUUGACCGAGGGUCGGAUUUGUUGACAUUAUGCCCGAAGGGAGAACCUUUAUAUGUUUAUGUUUCUUAUUUGCCUGUCAUUUACCCAUUUAAUUGUGUAUUUGUGCCCGAGGGGCGAACUUUUUGUGUUUACCUAUUCUAGUUGCUUGCAUUUAAUUGCUUUGCUGCUAAAAAGGGAUUUUAACGAAGUUUAAACUAAGCUAAGAUGUUUUAAGAGAUUUCCCAGCUUCAUUGCUUUCUUAAAAGGUUUUGUACCGCUUCUAUACAGCAUCUUGAUAUGCUUUACGUGAUUUCUUAUCGCUCAGUCUUCAUUUAUUUUUAUUACUCACUGAGUUGGAGUACUCACUUUACUCCCUGCACCUUGUGUGCAGAUUCAGGUAUUUCUGAAUCCGGUAGAGGUUCUUGGUUGAGCAGAGGCAGAGUCAUUGGAGUUCAGCGAGGUAGCUGCCCGACGUCCCCAGCA